rnacentral:rRNA from 1 species
UACGUAGGGAGCAAGCGUUGUCCGGAAUCAUUGGGCGUAAAGCGCGCGUAGGUGGCCAUUUAAGUCCGCUGUGAAAGUCAAAGGCUCAACCUUUGAAAGCCGGUGGAUACUGGGUGGCUAGAGUACGGAAGAGGCGAGUGGAAUUCCUGGUGUAGCGGUGGAAUGCGCAGAUAUCAGGAGGAACACCAAUAGCGAAGGCAGAUCUCUGGGCCGUAACUGACGCUGAGGAGCGAAAGCAUGGGUAGCGAACAGG